rnacentral:rRNA from 1 species
AGCGAACGCUGGCGGAAUGCUUAACACAUGCAAGUCGCACGGGGGCCUCGGCUCGAGUGGUGGACGGGUGAGUAACGCGUAGGAACGUGUCUUGGGGUGGGGGAUAACGCUGGGAAACUGGCGCUAAUACCGCAUAUGGGCUGAGGCCCAAAGCCUUCGGGUGCCUUGAGAGCGGCCUGCGUCCGAUUAGCUAGUUGGUGGGGUAACUGCUUACCAAGGCGACGAUCGGUAGCUGGUCUGAGAGGACGAUCAGCCACACUGGGACUGAGACACGGCCCAGACUCCUACGGGAGGCAGCAGUGGGGAAUAUUGGACAAUGGGCGGAAGCCUGAUCCAGCAAUUCCGCGUGGGUGAAGAAGGUCUUCGGAUUGUAAAGCCCUUUCGACAGGGACGAUGAUGACGGUACCUGUAGAAGAAGCCCCGGCUAACUUCGUGCCAGCCGCCGCGGUAA